AAGUCGUAACAAGGUAUCUGUAGGUGAACCUGCAGAUGGAUCAUUCUUGUAACUGUUCGUAGGGCUUCGGCUCUACUUACUAAACAACCACUGUGAACACUAAACUUUAAAAGUGACCUAGUUGCGUUGGUACUCUUUAGGGGGUACCAACCAGAUGCAGGCACUUGGGGCUUUUUAACCUAACAAAUUCAUUAAUGCCUAAAAACAAAAAUAAUUUAAUACAACCUUUAACAAUGGAUCUCUUGGCUCCU
rnacentral:misc_RNA from 1 species